rnacentral:rRNA from 1 species
GAUGAACGCUGGCGGUGUGUCUAAUACAUGCAAGUCGAGCGAAUAAACGAGGAGCUUUCCCCUUUGACGAUAGCGGCCGACGGGUGAGUAACACGUGGAUAACCUAUCUAUAAGACUGGGAUAAUCUCGGGAAUCUGGAGCUAAUAUCGGAUAACAAGACUAACGGCAUGGGUCAGCAAUGUAAUAGGGACCUACUUUCCCUUCUUCAUGGAUCCGCGCCUAAUUAGCCAGUCGGUAAGGUAACGGCUUAUCAAGGUAACGAUUCGUAGCCGACCUGAGAGGGUGAUCGGCCACACUCGGACUGUGACACGGUCCAGACUCCUACGCGAGGAAGGAGUAGGGAAUCUGCCGCAAUGGGCGCAGGCCUGACAGAGCAACGCCGCGUGAGUGAAGAAGGUCUUCGGAUCAUAGAACUCUGUUGUUAGCGAGGAACAAAUGUGUAAGUGACUAUGCACGUCUUGACGGUACCUAAUCAGAUAGCCACGGCUAACUACGUG